rnacentral:rRNA from 1 species
UACGGAGGAUGCAAGCGUUAUCCGGAUUUAUUGGGUUUAAAGGGUACGUAGGCGGAAACUUAAGUCAGUAGUGAAAUCCUGCAGCUUAACUGUAGAACUGUUAUUGAUACUGGGUUUCUUGAAUAUAGUUGAGGUAGGCGGAAUGUGUAAUGUAGCGGUGAAAUGCUUAGAUAUUACACAGAACACCGAUUGCGAAGGCAGCUUACUAAGCUAUGAUUGACGCUGAGGUACGAAAGCGUGGGGAGCGAACAGG